UCUAUUAUUCUAGGAUGCAUAAAUCUAAAAAGAGAGAAGAUCCAAAUAAAGUGAUUUUAGAGGUUCAGACCACUGAAAUUGCAGAAACAGAUACAGCACAGCAAGAAGACAUGACUUCAACUUCUCCAAUAACUACUAAGUCUGAGGUGGUGACUCCUAGUGUUUCAGUACGUGAAGUACGAUUUUCAGGUUCUACUGAACACCAUGUAAUUGAGUACACAGUUUCUGAAGAAUCAAAUUUGCAGGAAGAGGAAGAUGAAAGGGAGCAAAAAGGAGAAAAGAAGCAAAUACCUAAUUAUCUGAGGAAAGAUUUUGGGAACCGUGUUAGAUAUGACCCAACAGGAAUCAUUACAUAUUAAACAUGAUGGAGAAUAUGUAUAUGGACUUCUAAGAAAUAGAAACAAUUGCCGAG
rnacentral:lncRNA from 1 species